rnacentral:rRNA from 1 species
ACACAUGCAAGUCGAACGAGCGAGAGAGAGCUUGCUUUCUCAAGCGAGUGGCGAACGGGUGAGUAACGCGUGAGGAACCUGCCUCAAAGAGGGGGACAACAGUUGGAAACGACUGCUAAUACCGCAUAAGCCCACGACCCGGCAUCGGGUAGAGGGAAAAGGAGCAAUCCGCUUUGAGAUGGCCUCGCGUCCGAUUAGCUAGUUGGUGAGGUAAUGGCCCACCAAGGCGACGAUCGGUAGCCGGACUGAGAGGUUGAACGGCCACAUUGGGACUGAGACACGGCCCAGACUCCUACGGGAGGCAGCAGUGGGGAAUAUUGCACAAUGGGGGAAACCCUGAUGCAGCGACGCCGCGUGGAGGAAGAAGGUCUUCGGAUUGUAAACUCCUGUUGUUGAGGAAGAUAAUGACGGUACUCAACAAGGAAGUGACGGCUAACUACGUGCCAGCAGCCGCGGUAAAACGUAGGUCACAAGCGUUGUCCGGAAUUACUGGGUGUAAAGGGAGCGCAGGCGGGAAGACAAGUUGGAAGUGAAAUCCAUGGGCUCAACCCAUGAACUGCUUUCAAAACUGUUUUUCUUGAGUAGUGCAGAGGUAGGCGGAAUUCCCGGUGUAGCGGUGGAAUGCGUAGAUAUCGGGAGGAACACCAGUGGCGAAGGCGGCCUACUGGGCACCAACUGACGCUGAGGCUCGAAAGUGUGGGUAGCAAAC